rnacentral:rRNA from 1 species
CUACGGGGUGCAGCAGUGGGGAAUAUUGGACAAUGGGGGAAACCCUGAUCCAGCAAUGCCGCGUGUGUGAAGAAGGCCUGCGGGUUGUAAAGCACUUUCGGUUGGGAGGACUGCUUCUAGCACUAAUAUUGUUGGAAGUUGACGUUACCUUCAGAAGAAGCACCGGGUAACUCCGUGCCAGCAGCCGCGGUAAUACGGAGGGUGCAAGCGUUAAUCGGAAUUACUGGGCGUAAAGCGCGCGUAGGCGGCUAGAUCAGUCGGGUGUGAAAGCCCCGGGCUUAACCUGGGAACUGCAUCCGAUACUGUCUAGCUUGAGUACAGGAGAGGAGAGUGGAAUUCCACAUGUAGCGGUGAAAUGCGUAGAUAUGUGGAGGAACACCAAUGGCGAAGGCAGCUCUCUGGCCUGAUACUGACGCUGCGGUGCGAAAGCGUGGGGAGCAAACAGGAUUAGAUACCCUAGUAGUC